GAGAGAGAGAGAGAGAGAGAGAGAGAGAGAGAGAGAGAGAGAGAGAGAGAGAGAGUGGAAUGUUUCACGUUUAGUUUCUGUUGUAUCUAUAGUUUAAAUUUAAAACAUGGCAGAUUGCCCGGCCGUACAAUCCCAAAUGUCCUCUUACGGUGACAGAAUGUGUCCCUUCAGUGAAACGGAGAGAGUAAAGUUGGAAGUACCAGAAGGGGGAGGAGUUCAAAGAUCAGAAAACAGAUGUAAAUCGUUUAGCCAACGCUGCUCGAAAUGAAUAGCACAUGUGCAGGGCACGUCCCCUUUCCCAAAACACCCACGCCCACACAAUACUAGAGUAAAGCUAAAGUUUGCUUGACACACACACACACACACACACACACACACACACACACACACACACACACACACACACACACACACACACACACACACACACACACACACACACACACACACUCUUUCAAUAGGCUGUUAACUCAUUCAUGUUAUCUGUGAUCUAAAUCCACAUCAGACUGGAUUAAAAAUUUUGCAGAGUUAAAAAUGUACUUUACUGAAUAAAAACAUAAAAAAAUACUAUACUGAAUCAACGGGCAAGAUUUGUAUAAACUUGCUCUGCAGAACCAUUGACAAAGAAUGUCUGUUCUGAGUGAAGCAAGUCGUUUUAAAUAUUGCGCCAUAAAGGCUUCUAUUGACAAAGCUGAGAAACAAGCAUUAGGUUCAACAAUAACCUGAAGACCAACCUACGAGUCACACAUUGAACGUUAGGUUCGGGGCAGGAACGAUAUAUUGUGUACACUCUAUCAAGUUGUCACUUAUCAGAACCAACGAAAGACACACAAACACACGUAAUAAAUAUGUAUGUCACAGAGUUGGCUGUUAUAAUCUUUUUUUAAAUGCAUAGGCCUUUAAUCGGUUAUGUUUCCAAAAUAACAUGCCUGUCAUCAUGUUACACACAUCUUUGGUGAUCCAUAUGGGGCGCAAAUGUAACCACAGUUUUUAAAUGUGUUUAUCUGAGAGAGAAAAACAUAUCUUAUCAUCGUCCAACCACAGUGAGGUCUUCGGUGAGAACAAUCUGUAGUACAAUCAUCUCAGCCUACUGUCCCGUUGGCGAGGAUCGCACUCGAGAACAAAAGGAAACAAUGAACCAAGAGUUUAUUUUUUGCAAUCUCAUUGGUUCUCUUCUUUGUCCGCUUUCUGUCUUCUAUGAACGCGGGACCUUGCCAUGCCCGUCAGAUUUUGACAUAAUGUACUACACGCGGCCCAGAUGGGCUAAAAGCUAUUACAGUAAAGCGCGCUGCUUUGUUAGUGCGAUCCUGAAACAAUCAAUGCGAAAACACAGCAGACCAGACGCACACACACCUACCUCAAAGUCGACCCUGACGAGACUUCCCCAACUCAAGUUCUUGAAUGUUUAAAAUGACAAGGAGGUUUAGGACACAUCAGCGCAUCACUCGAUCACUUCUUUAGGUUAAGGUGUGUCUUCGACUUUGCUUUUCUGGCUCUUGGAAACAGUUCAAUAGCCAAAGCACACUCUCAGGACCCCUAGUAAUGUAAAUUAAUGCUAAGUGGGCGGGCUCAACUGACGUCACCGGAUGGGCCCCUCCCCGUCUUCAUAUCUUUCAUGAGUAGACGGGGAGACCCCUCGCGCUUAGGGGUGGGGUUAGCAUAGAGCGCAAAGACUGGGAAGGGUUUUCCUGUAAACAAUCCCAGCCAGCCAAUAACGCUUUAUACAACCCUGCAACUUUCGAAGAACACAAGAUAUAUAAAUAAUCUGUUAGUUUGCCCGACUGUCUUUCUACCGUUCUCUCUCUCGCUCUCUUUAACAUACUCAUGCACACACACGAACACACACGCGCGCACGCACGCACACACAAACAUUGAAAUCACCAAAAAACUCCCAAACAAUAUUAAACUGUUUUAAAAGGAUGUCAUCUUUGUAUCGGACUGAUAUCUUAUCUUAGAACAGGCUUGUUUGUGCAGUGCAGCUGUUAGUAAUAGAGGACUGAGCACAUAGCAUCCACUAUGAUGAAGGACUAAUCUUCUUACUAAUGGAAUGUCUUUUCAUCCGCUGAUCUGCCAACCCCUUAUGUUAAAUAAGCUCUGGGGAAAGAAGACCUAUCUAGUUGUGAUAUACCAGGCUUACACCAUGCCUAGGCUUACAUCAUCCUGGUCUCUGGUAGUGAUACACUAGGCUUAUAUAUCUGGUCUUUAAGAGUGAUAUACUAGGCUUAUACACCAUUCCUUGUUUCUAGUAUAGGUAUAUACUAGACUUAUAUGCAUGGUCUCUAGUAGUAAUGUACUAGGCUAUUCCUGGUCUUUAUAAGUGAUAUACAAGGCUAAUACACCAUUCCUGGUCUAGUGAUAUUAUAGACUUCUCAUGCACUCAUAUGGGAACAUGAGAUAUUAUUAUUGGAACCACGGUCGUUACCACGACCAUGGUCAUGAUCUGGCUCCAAACCCCCUGCCCCCGUGGCUUUGACAAGCUGUGUUCCGGCACACACUUUGACGCAGCUGGGUGACAGGAAGUGAAACGGAAACCAACAGCCAGGCCAGAAGUAGUUCUCGAUGACGUUGAAUAAGGAGGCUAUGAGGGCGGGUCCCAGCAGUAAGACAUUCCUGGGUCGUUUCUCAUGAUUUAGGGUGGGGUGUCGAGGCGGAGUCAGAGUGCAGGAUUGAAACAAUAGGAUGAGUCAUGAGUGAGGGGGGGUCACAGAAGACAGGGACCACCCUUCCCCCAGAGAACCCCACACUCAUCAUCACUGCGUGCAGGAAACAGAUGCGCUGCUUGGCUCUGUGUGCGUGUGUGCGCGUACGUACGUACGUGUGCUUGUGUGUGUGUGUGUGUAUGUAUGUGUGUGUGUGUGAGUGUGAGUGUAUGAGUGUGUUUCAGUCAGUGUGGUUUAAUUGAUUUGCAAAUUGGUCUUUCUCUUUAUCCCUUACUUUCUCUCCCUCUCUUAGUUUCUCCUCUAUGAGAGUGUGGGAAAAACACUUAACUGUGGCUCAAAUAUCGCAAUACUGAACAAAUGUCUUUUUUCGACUUUCUAUUUUGCACACUGUAUGUUGAAAUAACCCCCCAGUCAUUACCACAAGAAGACCGUUUCCUGACGGUUACAAGAUAGAAGACUCACAGAUAGAAAAUCUAUGUUUCCGUCUACAGCUUCCUGCCGAGAGUCAAGUUGAAACUGAGGCUUCAAUUUCGGUCUGUAAAGCUACAACCAGCUCACGCUUUCUCAAAACUGUAAUUUUUCUGGGAAAUUCCUUUGAAACCAAAGAAAUUCUUGUUCAAUAGAAUGUUAAAUUCAUUCAAUGUUCAAUAUUCCUGCUACAAUUCAACAUUCAUGUUCUAAUAGUUUCUAAAAGCAUCACUUACUUAGACUUUGACCCCUUUGCUCGUGCUUGUUGUAUGGCUGAGUAGCUGUAUGUUAUCCUGCAGGUCCCUGUUGCUGCCUUGUGGUACGUCUGUACAGCUGUGUUCGUGUGCUGGUGCCUCUCUAACCCAUCCUUUCUCACUUCCCCUUCUCCCCCCCAAGAAGCUUGUGUUUUUUGUCAGGCCGUCACGGUCAAUAAGAACUUGUUCUUAAUGAUCUGCCUGGUUGAAUAAAGCUGGCCCCGCCCACACCUCCACAAUCCCUCAUCCCUGCGGAAGCGCCAACCAUGUGCUGCACCUGGGUAGACCAUCCCUGAAGAACAGGAGCAUGUUCCAAGGUACCACUGUUCCCGUACCACCACAUACAGGACCGAUAGGAGGCUGGGAGACCCUCUGGUGCCCUAUCACAGGACGGAUAGGAGGCUGGGAGACCCUCUGGUGCCCUAUCACAGGACCGAUAGGAGGCUGGGAGACCCUCUGGUGCCCUAUCACAGGACCGAUAGGAGGCUGGAGAGACCCUCUGGUGCCCUAUCACAGGACGGAUAGGAGGCUGGGAGACCCUCUGGUGCCCUAUCACAG
ensembl:lncRNA